AUGUGUUUUUGAUACGAAAACUUAUUCUAUCACGUAUGUGGUAAUUCGGCUCCAGUAAUCGACAUAAAUAAGUUUUAUAAGAAAUAAAAAUUUUCACGAGAAAAUCUGUUUGUUGUCAAUAAAUUGUGAAAUUAAAAUAAGAAUUUUGCAGAGUUCGUUUCAUAAUAGACUCAAGCCCCUAUUAAAAAAGACACUUUUCUGAAAAUUACUCUGAUACGACACAUGUUUUGUUGAUGACUAUAUAAUACUCUUAUUUGCUUCGCACUAGUCUUUAGAUGAAAACACUUCACUACUUCAAUCAGUAAUUGCCUUAUAUAGGGUACAUAUUACUUUCAAUUAUAACCUUUCUUUUUUAUUGAAAAAGCUAAGCGAGAGAAAAGAAGAUAAGAAGUUGAAAAAGAUUUAACAACAAAUUUUAUUCAAAUUAGCAAGCGAAUGAAUGUAUGGAAUGAUGAAAAAAGAUCAACAAAUACAAAACAAAAAGAUUUAACAAGGAAUUUAAAUUAAAGCAGCAAGCGAAUGGAUGGAAUGAAUGAAUGGAAUGAAAAAAGAUCAAGAACACAAAACAAAAAGGUUUAACAACAAAGUUUAAUCAAAGCAGCAAGCGAGUGUAUGGAUGGAAUGAUGAAAAAAGAUGAACAACAUAAAACAAAAAAAGAAACGAAAAAAGUAUAAACGAAGAACAAUUAAAAAGCAUUAAACAAAUUCAGUAAAGUAAGAAAGUACAAUAAAAAUAAACAUGGUAAACAGAAAGAAGUGAAAAAUUAAUAAAUAUUAUUAACUUUCUUAAAAUCAUGAGCACCUAGUAUUUUAUUAAAAAUUUGUGAUAUAUUUUAGUUGUUUAAGGUGCAUUGUAUUUGUGAUAAAAAUUAUAAAAAUAAAAACUACCUACUAAAAAUUAUG